UCUUCUAUCCUAGAUUUUGUCAACCAGAAGCCCACCAGGCCCAGAGAACAGCAACCUCGACCAUCAGUGCCCAGAAAGCAACAAGAAGCCACUGGGGCAGUCCUCAAUAUUAUAUGAUUACUCGGAGGAGGAGCUGAUGGCCAGCAUCGAGCGGGAGUACUGCCGCUGAAGCCAGCUCCCUGCAUCGACAUGCAGGCAUGGUCCUGGAAACGCAGCUGAGCAGAACUGCUACUGACAACACAACGUCUCACACAGUGAGACAGCACGGGAGAGCUGGGUGGUGGAGGGUCCUGGAGCAUCAGGGGCAGCAGGGCUGCUUGGGAAGCACAGAGGAGAAAGUUCACCUGGUCAUCUCCGAGUGAGAGCAUGAAGAUCUUCACCAGCUGCUGAUUUCUGACUGGUGCCACUAGAAGAGGGACCAAUUCUUCUAAAGAAUCAAUAUUUAGAAGCUCAUUUCCAAAUGCUAUUUAUAAAUGAACAUGUACUAGAAUAAGUGUCAUACUAGAGGUGUUGAAAUGUGGUGCUUUGAAGGAAGAUCUUGCUUUGAACUUAGUAAAAAAAAUGCAGCAAUAUCACCUGAUCCAGAACUUCAGAGAAUAUUGAAUGAAAUUCAUGUUUCUGCCACUUAAAAUGUGCCAAAUGUACUCCUUGUGCUGUACUAGCCUCAGGUUCCAGGUCUGAAUAUGACACUGUCUCUUUCAAUCUGGUCCCCAGUAUGGGAGAUGAGGAAAGGGGGAUUGAGCCCACCAUCUAGUGCAUAGGCAGUGCAAUCCCAGAGUUCAAAUCCCACCACACUGACAAAUUAGGCUCCUGGGAGCCGUCAGGGAACACAGGAUUUGUAUGAUCCCUUUGGGGCAGGAUCCCAGCAUAGGUGUCCUACCUGGGGCUCCUGGUUAUGGAUCCCAGUCAUGGGAGUGAAAGCAGGAGGCACAUCCCCAUUUCAGUCAUCCUCCUCGAGAGGGACUUGCAUGCUCUCGUAGAGCAGCUGUUUGGGAUCAGUUUUCAGAAUUGCCACUCCUGGCCUUUCCCUAAUAUUUCUUGUCCUACAAGAAAAAUCACUGCAUUUUACCAUUAGCUGACUGCAAAGUAAACCAGAAAGUUCUCUCUCCUAAGGAAAUAGUAUUUUCAGUACUUCCAGACAGGGAAGCCUGAUAUUUGGGGUUUCUGCUUUUAUUAUACCUGCAUCUUAACAUAUUAUGAGUAUCUGCUUAUUAUCAGAAGUAGAAAAAUACUUUAUUUCUAUCUUCAGCUGAAACAUAAAAGGCAUCAGAUGAAAUUUUCAUUACAUGUAAAAGCAAAAAAAACCUGCAGGACACCUCAUAAGAUGCUGUAUUUUACGUACUUUAUGAAUCCUGGGACCUGUGAAACAGAAAUAAAUGCAUCUAUACUCUGAAGCCCUCAGUGAA